rnacentral:rRNA from 1 species
AGUAAUGUAUGGGGAUCUGCCUGAUGGCGGGGGGUAACUACUGGAAACGGUAGCUAAUAUCGCAUAAUGUCUGCGGACCAAAGCGGGGGACCUCCGGGCCUCGCGCCAUCAGAUGAACCCAUAUGGGAUUAGCUAGUAGGUAAGGUAACGGCUUACCUAGGCGACGAUCCCUAGCUGGUCUGAGAGGAUGAUCAGCCACACUGGGACUGAGACACGGCCCAG